AUUGAACGCUGGCGGCAGGCCUAACACAUGCAAGUCGAGCGGAGCGGCGGACGGGUGCGUAAUGCCUAGGAAUCUGCCUGGUAGUGGGGGAUAACGUACGGAAACGGGCGCUAAUACCGCAUACUAUCAGAUGAGCCUAGGUCGGAUUAGCUAGUUGGUGGGUGAAAGGCCUACUAAGGCGACGAUCCGUAACUGGCCUGAGAGGAUGAUCAGUCAGCCUGGAACUGAGACAGGGUCCAGACUCCGAAGGGAGGCAGCGGUGGGGAAUAUGGGGCAAUGGGCGAAAGCCUGAUCCAGCCAUGCCGCGGGUGUGAAGAAGGUCUUCGGAUUGUAAAGCACUUUACGUUGGGAGGCGGUACCAACAGAAAAAGCACCGGCUAACUUCGUGCCAGCAGCCGCGGUAAUAC
rnacentral:rRNA from 1 species